AGUGGCUCAUUCACCGACUUAUGUCAGCCCCUUCGGGACGUGCUACAUAAAAUUCGAAUGACGCACAACAAGGUGCCUGCCGUCCAACUUCUGAUAUCAGCUUAGCUAUAUCAACCAUCGGGCGAAACGUCGAGUUAGGCACCGCCUU
rnacentral:sRNA from 1 species